rnacentral:rRNA from 1 species
GUAAUGGCUUACCAAGGCGAAGACGGCUAGGGGGCGUGAGAGCGCGACCCCCCACAAUGGAACUGAGACACGGUCCAUACUCCUACGGGAGGCUGCAGUGAGGAAUAUUGCGCAAUGGGGGCAACCCUGACGCAGCAACGCCGCGUGGACGAUGAAGGCCUUCGGGUUGUAAAGUCCUUUUCUGAAGGACGAUAAGUGACGGUACUUCAGGAAUAAGUCCCGGCUACUACGUGCCAGCAGAUGCCGGUAAUACGUAGGUGGCGAGCGUUAUUCGGAAUUAUUGGGCCUAGAGGGUUCGGAGGGGGUAAUGUAAGUUCCGGUGUGAAAUCUCGAGGCUCACCCUCGAAACUGGCAAUUGCGAACUGCAAUUACUUGAGUGUCAGAGAGGGAAGCGGAAUUUCCUGGUGUAGCGGGUGGAAUGCGGUAGAUAUCAGGAAAGAACACCGGACGGCGAAGGCAGCUUUCUGGCUGGCAACUGACCCUGAUGAACGAAAGCUAGGGUAGCGAACAGGAUUAGAUACCCUGGUAGUCCUAGCUGUAAACGUUGUGCACUGGAUGUGGGCGGAUUUGGUUCCCGUCUGUGUCUGAGCGAAGGCGUUAAGUGCACCGCCUGGGGACUACGGCCGCAAGGCUAUAACUCAAAGGAAUUGACGGGGGCCCGCACAAGCGGUGGAGCAUGUGGCUCAAUUCGAGGCAACGCGAAGAACCUUACCUGGGUUUGACAUAUACCUGACCGCCGGUGAGAGCCGGUUUCUCUUUGAGCAGGUAUACAGGUGCUGCAUGGCUGUCGACAGCUCGUGCUGUGAAGUGUUCGGUUAAGUCCGGCAACGAGCGCAACCCACGCUGUUAGUUACCAUCAGGUAAUGCUGGGGACUCUAACAGGACUGCCCGUGCUAAGCGGGAGGAAGGCGUGGACGACGUCAAGUCCGCAUGGCCCUUACGCCCAGGGCUGCACACGUGCUACAAUGGCCGGUACAGAGGGUCGCCACUCUGCGAAGAGGAGCUAAUCACGAAAACCGGCCUCAGUUCGG